ensembl:scaRNA small Cajal body-specific RNA 1
AAGCACUUGAUACUAACCGAGCCAUCCGUGGCCCAGGUCUUGCACAGAGAUCUGAGGUUACGCUUGUGAUUGCUGGGUCUGAAAAGUGCGACAUUAAACCAGCCAUGCAGCGUUUAAGCUCAGUGUAUGAAGGAAAACACUGGGUUAUAACUCAGCGGCACAAAA